CCCUCCUAGAUCUAGGGUUAGCAAAAGCAAAGACAGGAAUGGACAUUGAUAGAGCUUUGCUCAUCUACCCUCCCCCUUGUGGUAAUCCUCUAUGUUGGAGAAGAAUCCAUUGGAGUAGAAGGCCACCCACUUGGUGAGACUCUAAGGAGUACAAGGGGCCAAUCAGUUUCACACACAGGCCCAAUAAUGGGGCACCCCUUUCGGCUUUGGGGCCAAGCCUCCCUUGCGGCUAGGGUUUGGGGCCACCCCUUUGUGAUGAGGACAUCACUACUACAGUAACACCCACAACUCCUGCUGCUACAUAUAAUGGACCAAUUACUAGAGCUCGUGCACGCCAACUAAAUUAUCAGGUACUUUCGUUUCUUGGUAAUGAUUCUAAUGUUUAUGAGAAUACGAUGUUGCCUAAACUGGAUACUUUUGUUUUGCUUAAAAUGAAGGACCCAACAUGGACAAGAAGGAUGAACAUUGAAGCAUGAUUAAGCACGGAGAUGAUGGCGUGCGCAAGGGCAACGAGAACAGAGUUUCUGGUGGAGUUUUUCAGCACUUUGGUGCCACCAUGAUGACAUCCAAGGACAUGGACAAAAUAAAAAAGAUGGCCUUUCAUAAAUUAAGCCCAUAACUUAAUAUAGGUGUCGCGUCACCUCAUGUUUGGGCCAGGCCUAUGUAAUGUCGGAAUACAAAUCGGUAGGAUAUUUUUAGAGUCCUUAUUGUAGUGGAAGUGACUCAGGAGGUGUUUUAGUACUGCCUUGCCAAGGGUGGGCAAAAUCCCCUCUCCUUUCCCCAAUAAAUACAACCCUUAAGGCAACGUUUAGACUUGGAUUUUGUUUAGAUUAAAAGCUCGCCAUAGCUGCAACUUCGCAUUCUUCAUUUGUGUUCUACGACCAGACCAAGACGUCACAGAACCCCACUUUCAUUAAUAAAACUUUUCUCUUAAUAUUCA